rnacentral:rRNA from 1 species
UGGGGAAUAUUGCACAAUGGGGGAAACCCUGAUGCAGCAACGCCGCGUGAAGGAAGACGGUUUUCGGAUUGUAAACUUCUGUUCUUAGUGAAGAAGAAUGACGGUAGCUAAGGAGCAAGCCACGGCUAACUACGUGCC